GCGCGGAUCCCUUUCCCCCCAGAACGGUGCCGUUUCGUUAUAUGCUUAAAAAUUGAAGAAAAUGAAUGGCCUUUUGCCAUUUUUUGAGCCAUAAACCAAAGACCCAAGCAUUAGGGUUACAGCACAGCAGAUUUUAAUGCUUUCCCAUCCCCUUUCCAUUCGGCCGAAUUAGGAGACCUUUAGACUGCCGUUUGGCCUCUAUGUCUAGCCGACGGUCAUCACUUGAAGGCCCAAUCUAGCUCCGUCCAACCGUGGAUCCAAGGUUUUUGCUCCAAAGCUUCAAAGUCCUCGCCUAAACUUCGAUUACAACGAAGUAGCUAGGAUUCGAAGGAGCCAAAUAUGAAGGUAAAUCUCUUUUCCUUACUCUUUUUCUUUUUAAAAACGAAUAUCAAUCAUGAAGAAAAGCAAAAAGAAAAAUGAAUGAGAUGCUAGAUUUAAAACAAUCACCUUUUCAAUUCGUGAUUUCUACUUUGUUCUAUUUGAUAUCUUUUUGUAUGUGUUUUUUCGUAAAAAAAGAAGGGGCUUUUACAAUCGAAAAAUGAAAGGCUUUAUAGCCGAAUCAUCAAAAUAAAAUAAUAAACACAAUUUUCUUUUUCUUUUUUCGUAUUGGCUUGUUGCUGCUGUUGUUUGUCUGUUUCUUCGUAGGUACGGAGUGUGCCUGGCGCGAGUACGAGGGCUGGGCUGGCGUACGGAGGCGCGGGUGUGGCUGCUAGAGGGUACGGAGGCUGGGGCUGCUGCGGCUCAAGCAGAGACUACUAGGGUUCUGCCUUGAUUUUUUUGUUUUUGGGCUGUAGGAUAUUUGGGUCUAGGUUUGGGCUUGUAAUAAGUUUGGGCUAUGUUAAGGUAUUUGGGUCAUUGUAAUAACUUUGGGCCUUGGACUGUUUCUAUUUUUGUUUGGGUUUUAUAUUUAUUUGUUUGUAACGGGCUGGGCAAAUUUGGCCCACUACAGAAAUGAUAUGUUCUUCAUAUUUUAAUAAAAAUUAAUUAAAUGUAUUUAUAUAAGGGUAACAUAUACAUAUAAUUCAAUUAUAAAAUUUUUUAUUUUAUUCACUCAAAAUAAA
rnacentral:lncRNA from 1 species